rnacentral:rRNA from 1 species
AUUGAACGCUGGCGGCGUGCUUAACACAUGCAAGUCGAACGGUAACGCGGGGGCAACUCUGGCGACGAGAGGCGGACGGGUGAGGAACGCUUGGGAAUCUGCGUAUCAGGGGGGGACAACACGGGGAAACUCGUGCUAAUACCGCAUACGCUCUACGGAGGAAAGCCGGGGACCGCAAGGCCUGGCACUGAUAGAUGAGCCCAAGCCGGAUUAGCUAGUUGGCGGGGUAACGGCCCACCAAGGCGACGAUCCGUAGCUGGUCUGAGAGGACGAUCAGCCACACUGGGACUGUGACACGGCCCAGACUCCUACGGGAGGCAGCAGUGGGGAAUAUUGGACAAUGGGGGAAACCCUGAUCCAGCGACGCUGCGUGGGUGAAGAAGGCCUGCGGGUUGUAAAGCCCUUUCGGUAGGGACGAAAGCUCUCGACCUAACACGUCGGGAGGUUGACUUAACCUAAAGAAGAAGCACCGGCUAACUCUGUGCCAGCCGCCGCGGUAAUAC